GAAUCCCGUCUUUGGCACGGAAACCCCAGGGCUUUUGUGAUGCGCUCUCGAAGAGUCGAGUUGUUUGGGAAUGCAGCUCAAAAUGGGUGGUGAACUCCAUCUAAAGCUAAAUAUUGACGAGAGACCGAUAGCGAACAAGUACCGUGAGGGAAAGAUGAAAAGCACUUUGGAAAGAGAGUGAAACAGUACGUGAAAUUGUUGAAAGGGAAACGCUUGAAGUCAGUCGCGUCGACCGAGACUCAGCCUUGCCCUUGGCUUGGUGUACUUCUCGGCUGACGGGUCAGCAUCAAUUUUGCCCCUUGGAUAAUGGCGAGGGAAAUGUGACACCUUUACGGUGUGUUAUAGUCUCUUGUCGCAUGCAAGGGUUGGGAUUGAGGAACUCAGCACGCACCUUUGGGUGUCGGGGCUUUGCCCACGAUACGUGCUUAGGAUGUUGGCGUAAUGGCUUUAAACGACCCGUCUUGAAACACGGACCAAGGAGUCUAACAUGCCUGCGAGUGUUCGGGUGGAAAACUCGUGCGCGCAAUGAAAGUGAAAGUUGGGACCUCUGUCGUGGAGGGCACCGACGCCCGGACCAGACCUUCUGUGACGGCUCUGCGGUAAAGCAUGUAUGUUAGGACCCGAAAGAUGGUGAACUAUGCCUGAAUAGGGUGAAGCCAGAGGAAACUCUGGUGGAGGCUCGUAGCGAUUCUGACGUGCAAAUCGAUCGUCAAAUUUGGGUAUAGGGGCGAAAGACUAAUCGAACCAUCUAGUAGCUGGUUCCUGCC
rnacentral:rRNA from 1 species